rnacentral:rRNA from 1 species
CACGUAGGGCGCAAGCGUUGUCCGGAAUUAUUGGGCGUAAAGAGCUCGUAGGCGGUCUGUUGCGUCUGCUGUGAAAACCCGGGGCUUAACCCCUGGCUUGCAGUGGAUACGGACAGACUAGAGGUAGGUAGGGGAGAAUGGAAUUCCCGGUGUAGCGGUGAAAUGCGCAGAUAUCGGGAGGAACACCGGUGGCGAAGGCGGUCCUCUGGGCCUUACCUGACGCUGAGGAGCGAAAGCGUGGGGAGCGAACAGG